AUGAAGGGCUGUCCCCCGGGGACCCGGAGAGAGGAUGCAGGCUCCCUCUCCCAGCCUGUGGUGACUCAGCCUCCCUCUGCCUCUGCAGCCCUGGGGAGCUCGGCCAGACUCUCCUGCACCCUGAGCAGUGAGCUCAGUGCUAGAAAUGUUUAUUGGCACCAGCAGAGCCCAGGAAAGCCCCCUCGGUACCUCCUGUAUGUCACCAGCAGUGGAAGUACAGGCAGGGGCGACGGGAUCCCUGAGCGCUUCUCUGGCUCCGGAUCUGGGACUAACCGAUUCCUGUCCAUCAGCAACGUCGAGCCCGAGGAUGAAGCCGAUUAUUUCUGCCAGUCAGAUUACUACCGUAGUAGUAGUAAUUUUGGUUACCCACAGUGA